CUACCAAGCCAACGAUCAGUAGCCGACCUGAGAGGGUGACCGGCCACAUUGGGACUGAGACACGGCCCAAACUCCUACGGGAGGCAGCAGUGGGGAAUAUUGCACAAUGGGGGAAACCCUGAUGCAGCGACGCCGCGUGAGCGAAGAAGUAUUUCGGUAUGUAAAGCUCUAUCAGCAGGGAAGAAAAUGACGGUACCUGACUAAGAAGCACCGGCUAAAUACGUGCCAGCAGCCGCGGUAAUACGUAUGGUGCAAGCGUUAUCCGGAUUUACUGGGUGUAAAGGGAGCGUAGACGGCUGUGUAAGUCUGAAGUGAAAGCCCGGGGCUCAACCCCGGGACUGCUUUGGAAACUAUGCAGCUAGAGUGUCGGAGAGGUAAGUGGAAUUCCC
rnacentral:rRNA from 1 species